rnacentral:lncRNA from 1 species
UUGAUAGAAUUUGGUAAAGAAAAUGUGACUCAGCGUAGACAAGACCGUGUUCAGCUUGAUGUAUUAUUAUUAUUUUGCAAGUGCCGACGUGGAUAAUGAAAGAUGGCCUUUUCGUGAAAUACGAUCGUUACUCUUCAGUGGUUCAAAUCAUAUUUUGUGCACAAUUGUACAAAUGUUCUGGAUGAGCUUAGCUUAUAUGGUUAUUGACUUAUUGAUAACAUUCUAUGUAGCAGGGAUGGUAUCCCCAGAAUGUCAUGAUUUAUGUAUUUUCAUUAUGGAGUUAACAGGUGUAACAAAACUAUCUCUUUAUUGCAAUUCAAUAUUAUUUAUGAUGUCUUAAUUUAGU